GCACACAGUGUCUUGGGUUGUUACGUCAACGUGGAUGGGAGUUACAGAUUCAAGAUGAGGAGACAAAUGGCUACUCGGCACAAUAUUCCUCAACUGGUUUUACUGAUAUGGGGAACACAGCUGAUGGAGGAAACUCUAAGGAAAGCAGAGGAGAUCUUUGGGACAGAUAACAGAGAUCUGUAUUUAUCAUUUCAAGGAUUGCUUAGCCAUAACAUACAC